rnacentral:rRNA from 1 species
GAUGAACGCUGGCGGCGUGCCUAAUACAUGCAAGUCGAGCGAACAGACGAGGAGCUUGCUCCUCUGACGUUAGCGGCGGACGGGUGAGUAACACGUGGAUAACCUACCUAUAAGACUGGGAUAACUUCGGGAAACCGGAGCUAAUACCGGAUAAUAUAUUGAACCGCAUGGUUCAAUAGUGAAAGACGGUUUUGCUGUCACUUAUAGAUGGAUCCGCGCCGCAUUAGCUAGUUGGUAAGGUAACGGCUUACCAAGGCAACGAUGCGUAGCCGACCUGAGAGGGUGGUCGGCCACACUGGAACUGAGACACGGUCCAGACUCCUACGGGAGGCAGCAGUAGGGAAUCUUCCGCAAUGGGCGAAAGCCUGACGGAGCAACGUCGCGUGAGUGAUGAAGGUCUUCGGAUCGUAAAACUCUGUUAUUAGGGAAGAACAAAUGUGUAAGUAACUAUGCACGUCUUGACGGUACCUAAUCAGAAAGCCACGGCUAACUACGUG